GCCCUGAGGGAUAGCUUGGCUGGUAGAGCCUGAGACUCUCAAUCUCAGGGCCAUGGGUUCAAGCCCACGUUGGGUG